rnacentral:rRNA from 1 species
GAUGAACGCUGGCGGCGUGCCUAAUACAUGCAAGUCGAGCGAAUGGAUUAAGAGCUUGCUCUUAUGAAGUUAGCGGCGGACGGGUGAGUAACACGUGGGUAACCUGCCCAUAAGACUGGGAUAACUCCGGGAAACCGGGGCUAAUACCGGAUAACAUUUUGAACCGCAUGGUUCGAAAUUGAAAGGCGGCUUCGGCUGUCACUUAUGGAGGGACCCGCGUCGCAUUAGCUAGUUGGUGCGGUAACGGCUCACAAAGGCACCGAUGCGUAGCCGACCUGAGAGGGUGAUCGGCCACACUGGGACUGAGACACGGCCCAGACUCCUACGGGAGGCAGCAGUAGGGAAUCUUCCGCAAUGGACGAAAGUCUGACGGAGCAACGCCGCGUGAGUGAUGAAGGCUUUCGGGUCGUAAAACUCUGUUGUUAGGGAAGAACAAGUGCUAGUUGAAUAAGCUGGCACCUUGACGGUACCUAACCAGAAAGCCACGGCUAACUACGUGCCAGCAGCCGCAGUAA